AAUGGGCGAAAGCCUGACGCAGCAACGCCGCGUGCGGGAUGAAGGCCUUCGGGUUGUAAACCGCUUUCAGUAGGGACGAAAUUGACGGUACCUACAGAAGAAGCCCCGGCCAACUACGUGCCAGCAGCCGCGGUAACACGUAGGGGGCAAGCGUUGUCCGGAUUUAUUGGGCGUAAAGAGCUCGUAGGCGGCUCGGUAAGUCGGGUGUGAAAACUCUGGGCUCAACCCAGAGACGCCACCCGAUACUGCUGUGGCUUGAGUCCGGUAGGGGAGCGUGGAAUUCCUGGUGUAGCGGUGAAAUGCGCAGAUAUCAGGAGGAACACCAGCGGCGAAGGCGGCGCUCUGGGCCGGAACUGACGCUGAGGAGCGAAAGCGUGGGUAGCAAA
rnacentral:rRNA from 1 species